AUGGCCUCGACCCUGUCCUUGGAGUACACGGCGCCGCAACUGCUGCCCCGGCACGACAUGGACGGUGCCGCGUUGAGGAUAUGCACUGACGGGCAGUGUUUCCUCUUCUACGUGCAAGUAAGCUCUGUCCGGAGGACCGGCGGCACGUACUGGGCGUGCCUAGACGCGCUCUCCGCCGCGCCGCUCCUAUCUGGCGGUCUGGACGACACGGGGCGCCAGCUGCUCGGGACGGCCUCCACGCUCUGGAGGACGGUCAUCAACGGGCUCUGCCGGCGCCUCCUCUUAGACCUAUGCCGCGAGCACGGCGUGGUGCCGGGGCGAGCCCCCACCCUCAUGGCCCUCCCGAGCGACGCCAUGCUGGCGAUCCUGGCGAGGCUCCCCGACGGGAAGGACCUCCUCAGGGUGGAGAGCACCUGCACCGAGCUGAGGCGCCUCGUGGGCGGCCGAGAGCGAGACCGCGAGCUCUGGCUGCCCAGGUACAAGGCGCUGCCGGGGAACACGCUGUGGUGGUCGCUCCGCGGCGGCUCCGACGACGACUUGCUGGGGACGAGUUGGAAGGAGAUGUAUGUGUGGGUCACGCGACAGAGGGAACAUAGGUUUCAGAUCCCCCGGUGGCUCCCGUCGGUUCAACGUAUCUUCCCAUCCUCAUGGCUUUCUAUCCAUCAUCUUCCACGGGAUCUUCCUUCGGAGCGGCCGGAUGAUGUCGUUACCUGCUUGACUCGCUUUGGAAAGAUCACAAGGGAGGGCGACAGGGUGCUUGCCGUCCACCUCCACCAUGUCUGUCGACUGUGCGUGGUGCACACACCUUGUCGGAGAGGAGGAUGGGCGAUCUGGUCGGCGGCCCGACGCCCGUCGACAGUGACGGGCAACACUACCCCUCCCUCACCACCGUUUGAUGGGAGCUCGUGGCGUACGAUGGUGGUCUUUUUCUGCAACAUCCUCCCUGUUGCAAGAAAGAUUUCUGCAACAUUUGUGAUGUUGCAAAACUUCUUCAGUAGAUAG
rnacentral:rRNA from 1 species